CGGCCCGGCCGGGGCCCAUCGCGAGCUGCCGGGUAGGUAAAAGUAAAAAAGUUGUUAAGAGGCGCGGUGUCGGCGUGCUUGUAUUUGCGGGAGAGAAUUAUCUGGAGGUGCUGGGUAGCCGGGAAUACUUGGACGGAUCUGGGCCCGGGAAUGGGUCUGGGCCUGGAUUCUGGUGUGGUGUAGGGUAGGCGUAGAUAGAUGAGUGGUCUAGGGUAGAUACAGGGUAGCCAGACGUCUGGUAUAUAGUAUGGGGGUGUAGGGUAGGUCUGGACACCGUUUUCCACUUCGCCCUUCCCUUUAGUCGAGGGAGGACGAUCUUGGCUGGGACGGAGGUGUAGGGUAAGCUUAAUUUACGAUUACAUGAUCUGUGUUACUCUAGGGUAGGUGAAAAUCCCAUAUAUAUCUGAUCACAUUUGGUGAAGAGGUGGUUUGGCUGGUGAGAUGGACAAAAGUGCAAUGUAGAAUUAUAUGUGAUUUUGCAAAAGUGGGUGUGAAAUUGGAAAGUCGGUUUUCCCGCACAGAUGAGAGCACGUUUGAGGUGCCAUGAGAUGCACCUCUCCGAGACGACCUCAACGGUGCCACCCAUGUGUUGGUCGGGCUCCUGUGCGGCCGUCCAGGGCGGGAUAAGUAGAGAAUGUGGUGGUGUAGGGUAGGUGACCAGGUCCAGGGUAGGUUCGCCAAAUCCGUCAAUCCGGCUUGAAUCGAAGGACAGGUCUAGGGUAGGCCAGAGUCGGGUCUAGGGUAGGCAACCCUCACCCUCGAAGUGGUCUACCCGGUAGCCAACUUCAAUCGCCUCUCACGGCCGCCACGGACCUCGCAUGACGACGGGACUACCACCAUCGGAUUCGCCUUGGUCGAAAUAGCUGGUAUAUGCACUUUUGAAAAAAUGCGUGCAAAAUGGUUUUGUGGUUUGGUGGCCGUGAGUCGAUUUUUUUGUUUUUCCAUACAAAUGAAUUUUGCGGAAAAUAAAAAGUGGCCCACGAGGCAGUCCUGGCGUGCGGCCCACUAAAACGGUCUCGGAGGGUAUAUGAGAAGGGAGCAAAUCCGGCCGAGCCUGAAAGGGUGAGGACAAACCGGGCGAGCAACCUCUCAGUAUCAGAUCUUGCAGACUUCCACUGCGUGUCCCUCUGUACAGCUUUGCAGGCUCCGGCCUCGGCAGCGGGGGGUUCAUAGUGGUCGUCGACCUCCACGAAACUGCACGCUCCGGCGUGACAGCGUACUGGGGAUGCCUGUGUAGAUGCAGUCCGGGCUUGCCUGGACCGCUAGCAGAUGGGCUCUGUGGAUGACUGGCCGCUGGCUAGACCUGAAACCUGAGCAACGGGAGGUAACCUCUCGCCGCGGACACCGGAAUGGUAGAAGCGGCGUGCUGCGUCCUCCUCUUGGGGCCCCUAAGCCACACCUCCCAUAGCGGGUUCGGUGCGGCGGACGGACGCCCUGGGGAAUUUAGAGGGGGAAAGCGGAUUGCCCUAGCGGUGUUGUUGGCCCUGCCGACCUCACUGCGAAAGGCGCGACUUCACCGUCGCCACCCAGUAACUUGUC
rnacentral:misc_RNA from 1 species